GCCUCUGCCCUUAAUGUGUGUGGAUACCAUCCAAUUGGCAGGGAGCCUGGAGAAAAAAAAAAAGGAGGAAAAAGAAUUUCCUCUCUCUCAUACACUCUCACCUGCUCUUGCCCCUCUGCCUUCCACCACGGGAUGACAAAGUAAGAAGGUCCUUGCUGGAUGUGGACCCCUUGACCUUGGACUUCCCAGCCUCUGGAACUCUUAAAGAAUAAAGCUGCCAUUUAGUGAAAGAGUCUAUGGAGAGAACCACAAGCCAAUAAACUGCUGGAGAUUUCUAGGAGCUGAUAGCAGGCCCUGGACAACAGCCAGCAAUAACUUGGGACCUCAGCCCUUCAACUGUAAGGAGAGUUCUGCAAACAUCCUGAGUGCACUUACAGAAGGAUUUACCUCCAAUUGAGUUUCCAGAUGAGAACCCUGCCCUAGUCAGUCAACAUGUUGAAGAUACCUUUUCAGAGGAGCAAGAUAAGUUGUGUCCAGACUUUUUGACCCACAAAGACUGUGAGAUAGUAAAUGUUAUUUGAUUUAAAAUGCUAAGAUUUUGGUAAUGUGCUACACAGCAAUAAAAACCCAAUAAAAAUUCUUAAAAAAAAAAAAAAAACAUCACUGUUGUUGUUAGCUAGUCUUAGACAGCAUCUUAUGUAACACUCCAG
rnacentral:lncRNA from 10 species